rnacentral:rRNA from 1 species
UACAGAGGUCCCGAGCGUUGUUCGGAUUCACUGGGCGUAAAGGGUGCGUAGGUGGUGAAGUAAGUCGGAUGUGAAAUCUAGGAGCUUAACUCCGAAACUGCAUUGGAAACUACUUUGCUCGAGGGUUGGAGGGGGGACUGGAAUUCUCGGUGUAGCAGUGAAAUGCGUAGAUAUCGAGAGGAACACCAGUGGCGAAGGCGAGUCCCUGGACAACUCCUGACACUGAGGCACGAAAGCUAGGGGAGCAAACAGG